GACGAACGCUGGCGGCGCGCCUAACACAUGCAAGUCGAACGGAGCUGAGAGAAGCUUGCUUUUCUUAGCUUAAUGGCGAACGGGUGAGUAACGCGUGAGUAACCUGCCCUGGAGUGGGGGACAACAGUUGGAAACGACUGCUAAUACCGCAUAAGCCCACGGCCCGGCAUCGGGCUGAGGGAAAAGGAUUUAUUCGCUUCAGGAUGGACUCGCGUCCAAUUAGCUAGUUGGUGAGGUAACGGCCCACCAAGGCGACGAUUGGUAGCCGGACUGAGAGGUUGAACGGCGACAUUGAGACUGAGACACGGCCCAGAAUCCUACGGGAGGCAGGAGUGGGGGAUAUUGCACAAUGGGGGAAACCAUGAUGGAGCGACGCCGCGUGGAGGAAGAAGGUUUUCGGAUUGUAAACUCCUGUCGUGAGGGACGAUAAUGACGGUACCUAAAAAGAAAGCACCGGCUAACUACGUG
rnacentral:rRNA from 1 species